rnacentral:tRNA from 1 species
GGGGGUAUGGUGUAGGGGUAUCACAUUCGCUUUGCAUAAGGCCUUCUGGCCACCAGCAUGCGAAAGGUCUAGGGUUCAAAUCCCUAUGCCUCCA